rnacentral:rRNA from 1 species
UAGGGAAUAUUAGUAAUGGGCGAAAGCCUGAACUAGCAACACCGCGUGUGCGAAGAAGGCCUUCGGGUUGUAAAGCACUUUUUGAGAGGAUGAGGAAGGACGGUACUCUCAGAAUAUGUCUCGGCUAACUACGCGCCAGCAGCCGCGGUAACACGUAGGAGGCAACCGUUAUCCGGAUUUACUGGGCGUAAAGCGCGUGUAGGUGGUUUGGUAAGUAGAGCGUGAAAGCUCCUGGCUCAACUGGGAGAGGUCGUUCUAAACUGCCGGACUAGAGGAUGGUAGAGGGAGGUGGAAUUCCGGGAGUAGCGGUGGAAUGCGCAGAUGUCCGGAGGAACACCAGUGGCGAAAGCGGCCUCCUGGACCACUCCUGACAUUCAGACGCGAGAGCUAGGGUAGCAAACG